AGGAUGAACGCUGGCGGCGUGCUUAACACAUGCAAGUCACGGGGGCCCAGCAAUGGGCAACCGGCGAACGGGUGCGUAACACGUGAGCAACCUACCGAAAUGAGGGGAUAGCCGGCCCAACGGCCGGGUAAUACCGCAUACGCUCGAGACCAGGCAUUUGGACUCGAGGAAACCUCCGGGGCAUUUCGAGGGCUCGCGGCCUAUCAGCUAGUUGGUGAGGUAACGGCUCACCAAGGCGACGACGGGUAGCUGGUCUGAGAGGAUGGCCAGCCACAUUGGGACUGAGAUACGGCCCAGACUCCGUACGGGAGGCAGCAGUGGGGAAUCGUUGCGACAAGUGGCCUAACGGGCUAGGACGACAGGCGGUACGCCGGCGUGGAGGGAUGACCGUCUCGUUCGGAGUUCGUAAACCUU
rnacentral:rRNA from 1 species